GGGGCCCGCACAAGCGGUGGAGCAUGUGGUUUAAUUCGAUGCAACGCGAAGAACCUUACCUACUCUUGACAUCCAGCGAAGCCUUUAGAGAUAGAGGCGUGCCUUCGGGAGCGCUGAGACAGGUGCUGCAUGGCUGUCGUCAGCUCGUGUUGUGAAAUGUUGGGUUAAGUCCCGCAACGAGCGCAACCCUUAUCCUUGUUUGCCAGCACAUAAUGGUGGGAACUCCAGGGAGACUGCCGGUGAUAAACCGGAGGAAGGUGGGGACGACGUCAAGUCAUCAUGGCCCUUACGAGUAGGGCUACACACGUGCUACAAUGGCAGAUACAGAGGGUAGCGAGACAGCGAUGUUUAGCGAAUCCCUUAAAGUUUGUCGUAGUCCGGAUUGGAGUCUGCAACUCGACUCCAUGAAGUCGGAAUCGCUAGUAAUCGUGGAUCAGAAUGCCACGGUGAAUACGUUCCCGGGCCUUGUACACACCGCCCGUCACACCAUGGGAGUGGGCUGCACCAGAAGUAGAUAGCUUAACCUUCGGGAGGGCGUUUACCACGGUGUGGUUCAUGAC
rnacentral:rRNA from 1 species